GCGGACGUGGCUCAGCGGUAGAGCAUCGCCUUGCCAAGGCGAGGGUCGCGGGUUCGAUUUCCCGUCGUCCGCUCCA
rnacentral:tRNA from 1 species